CAAGGCGACGAUCCCUAGCUGGUCUGAGAGGAUGACCAGCCACACUGGAACUGAGACACGGUCCAGACUCCUACGGGAGGCAGCAGUGGGGAAUAUUGCACAAUGGGCGCAAGCCUGAUGCAGCCAUGCCGCGUGUAUGAAGAAGGCCUUCGGGUUGUAAAGUACUUUCAGCGGGGAGGAAGGUGUUGUGGUUAAUAACCGCAGCAAUUGACGUUACCCGCAGAAGAAGCACCGGCUAACUCCGUGCCAGCAGCCGCGGUAAUACGGAGGGUGCAAGCGUUAAUCGGAAUUACUGGGCGUAAAGCGCACGCAGGCGGUCUGUCAAGU
rnacentral:rRNA from 2 species